rnacentral:rRNA from 1 species
GGUUAAGCGACUAAGCGUACACGGUGGAUGCCCUGGCAGUCAGAGGCGAUGAAGGACGUGCUAAUCUGCGAUAAGCGUCGGUAAGGUGAUAUGAACCGUUAUAACCGGCGAUUUCCGAAUGGGGAAACCCAGUGUGAUUCGUCACACUAUCAUUAACUGAAUCCAUAGGUUAAUGAGGCGAACCGGGGGAACUGAAACAUCUAAGUACCCCGAGGAAAAGAAAUCAACCGAGAUUCCCCCAGUAGCGGCGAGCGAACGGGGAGCAGCCCAGAGCCUGAAUCAGUGUGUGUGUUAGUGGAAGCGUCUGGAAAGGCGCGCGAUACAGGGUGACAGCCCCGUACACAAAAAUGCACAUACUGUGAGCUCGAUGAGUAGGGCGGGACACGUGGUAUCCUGUCUGAAUAUGGGGGGACCAUCCUCCAAGGCUAAAUACUCCUGACUGACCGAUAGUGAACCAGUACCGUGAGGGAAAGGCGAAAAGAACCCCGGCGAGGGGAGUGAAAAAGAACCUGAAACCGUGUACGUACAAGCAGUGGGAGCACAGAGCAAUCUGUGUGACUGCGUACCUUUUGUAUAAUGGGUCAGCGACUUAUAUUCUGUAGCAAGGUUAACCGAAUAGGGGAGCCGAAGGGAAACCGAGUCUUAACUGGGCGUUAAGUUGCAGGGUAUAGACCCGAAACCCGGUGAUCUAGCCAUGGGCAGGUUGAAGGUUGGGUAACACUAACUGGAGGACCGAACCGACUAAUGUUGAAAAAUUAGCGGAUGACUUGUGGCUGGGGGUGAAAGGCCAAUCAAACCGGGAGAUAGCUGGUUCUCCCCGAAAGCUAUUUAGGUAGCGCCUCGUGAAUUCAUCUCCGGGGGUAGAGCACUGUUUCGGCAAGGGGGUCAUCCCGACUUACCAACCCGAUGCAAACUGCGAAUACCGGAGAAUGUUAUCACGGGAGACACACGGCGGGUGCUAACGUCCGUCGUGAAGAGGGAAACAACCCAGACCGCCAGCUAAGGUCCCAAAGUCAUGGUUAAGUGGGAAACGAUGUGGGAAGGCCCAGACAGCCAGGAUGUUGGCUUAGAAGCAGCCAUCAUUUAAAGAAAGCGUAAUAGCUCACUGGUCGAGUCGGCCUGCGCGGAAGAUGUAACGGGGCUAAACCAUGCACCGAAGCUGCGGCAGCGACGCUUAUGCGUUGUUGGGUAGGGGAGCGUUCUGUAAGCCUGCGAAAAGGUNNNNNNNNNNNNNNNNNNNNNNNNNNNNNNNNNNNNNNNNNNNNNNNNNNNNNNNNNNNNNNNNNNNNNNNNNNNNNNNNNNNNNNNNGCAUGCUGGAGGUAUCAGAAGUGCGAAUGCUGACAUAAGUAACGAUAAAGCGGGUGAAAAGCCCGCUCGCCGGAAGACCAAGGGUUCCUGUCCAACGUUAAUCGGGGCAGGGUGAGUCGACCCCUAAGGCGAGGCCGAAAGGCGUAGUCGAUGGGAAACAGGUUAAUAUUCCUGUACUUGGUGUUACUGCGAAGGGGGGACGGAGAAGGCUAUGUUGGCCGGGCGACGGUUGUCCCGGUUUAAGCGUGUAGGCUGGUUUUCCAGGCAAAUCCGGAAAAUCAAGGCUGAGGCGUGAUGACGAGGCACUACGGUGCUGAAGCAACAAAUGCCCUGCUUCCAGGAAAAGCCUCUAAGCAUCAGGUAACAUCAAAUCGUACCCCAAACCGACACAGGUGGUCAGGUAGAGAAUACCAAGGCGCUUGAGAGAACUCGGGUGAAGGAACUAGGCAAAAUGGUGCCGUAACUUCGGGAGAAGGCACGCUGAUAUGUAGGUGAAGUCCCUCGCGGAUGGAGCUGAAAUCAGUCGAAGAUACCAGCUGGCUGCAACUGUUUAUUAAAAACACAGCACUGUGCAAACACGAAAGUGGACGUAUACGGUGUGACGCCUGCCCGGUGCCGGAAGGUUAAUUGAUGGGGUCAGCGCAAGCGAAGCUCUUGAUCGAAGCCCCGGUAAACGGCGGCCGUAACUAUAACGGUCCUAAGGUAGCGAAAUUCCUUGUCGGGUAAGUUCCGACCUGCACGAAUGGCGUAAUGAUGGCCAGGCUGUCUCCACCCGAGACUCAGUGAAAUUGAACUCGCUGUGAAGAUGCAGUGUACCCGCGGCAAGACGGAAAGACCCCGUGAACCUUUACUAUAGCUUGACACUGAACAUUGAGCCUUGAUGUGUAGGAUAGGUGGGAGGCUUUGAAGUGUGGACGCCAGUCUGCAUGGAGCCGACCUUGAAAUACCACCCUUUAAUGUUUGAUGUUCUAACGUUGACCCGUAAUCCGGGUUGCGGACAGUGUCUGGUGGGUAGUUUGACUGGGGCGGUCUCCUCCUAAAGAGUAACGGAGGAGCACGAAGGUUGGCUAAUCCUGGUCGGACAUCAGGAGGUUAGUGCAAUGGCAUAAGCCAGCUUGACUGCGAGCGUGACGGCGCGAGCAGGUGCGAAAGCAGGUCAUAGUGAUCCGGUGGUUCUGAAUGGAAGGGCCAUCGCUCAACGGAUAAAAGGUACUCCGGGGAUAACAGGCUGAUACCGCCCAAGAGUUCAUAUCGACGGCGGUGUUUGGCACCUCGAUGUCGGCUCAUCACAUCCUGGGGCUGAAGUAGGUCCCAAGGGUAUGGCUGUUCGCCAUUUAAAGUGGUACGCGAGCUGGGUUUAGAACGUCGUGAGACAGUUCGGUCCCUAUCUGCCGUGGGCGCUGGAGAACUGAGGGGGGCUGCUCCUAGUACGAGAGGACCGGAGUGGACGCAUCACUGGUGUUCGGGUUGUCAUGCCAAUGGCACUGCCCGGUAGCUAAAUGCGGAAGAGAUAAGUGCUGAAAGCAUCUAAGCACGAAACUUGCCCCGAGAUGAGUUCUCCCUGACUCCUUGAGAGUCCUGAAGGAACGUUGAAGACGACGACGUUGAUAGGCCGG